CUGCAGCCAAUUAAGCCGACAUUGCUGUCCUCCCCAUAGUGCCUGGUGUGCAGUGGCUGCAAACAGCAGCUUCCUGGGUAGUGUAUGCAGCCUGUUGCUUGUAUAGGCUGCCCUAAGGGACAGCCCUUC
rfam:Erinaceus europaeus unplaced genomic scaffold scaffold00034, whole genome shotgun sequence